rnacentral:rRNA from 1 species
ACCAAGACCUUCGGGUUUUGGGGACAGCGGCGAACGGGUGAGUAACACGUGAGUAAUCCACCCUUGGUACCGGGAUAGCUCGGGGAAACUCGAAUUAAUACCGGAUAGCCCAUUAGCCUUUCGAGGCGAAUGGAAAAGGUAGCUUCGGCCUCCGACCAAGGACGAGCUCGCGGCGGAUUAGCUUGUUGGCGGGGUAAUGGCCCACCAAGGCGACGAUCCGUAGCUGGUCUGAGAGGACGAUCAGCCACACUGGGACUGAGACACGGCCCAGACUCCUACGGGAGGCAGCAGUGGGGAAUCUUGCGCAAUGGGCGAAAGCCUGACGCAGCGACGCCGCGUGAGGGAAGAAGGCCUUCGGG